rnacentral:rRNA from 1 species
UACGUAGGGGGCAAGCGUUGUCCGGAAUUAUUGGGCGUAAAGAGCGUGUAGGCGGUCCGGUAAGUCGGCUGUGAAAGUCCAGGGCUCAACCCUGGGAUGCCGGUCGAUACUGCCGGACUAGAGUUCGGAAGAGGCGAGUGGAAUUCCCGGGUGUAGCGGUGAAAUGCGUAGAUAUCUGGAGGAAUACCGGUGGCGAAGGCGGCAUCCUGGACCGACAUUGACGCUGAGGAGCGAAAGCU